GGCUGCAGCAGUGGUAACGCGUCGCACUUGUAACGACCAAGUACAACCCACUGGUUCGAUAAGAGAUGCGAAGAUCCCUAGUUCAAUUCUGGGUGGAGGCA